rnacentral:rRNA from 1 species
CCUACGGGAGGCAGCAGUAGGGAAUAUUGCACAAUGGGGGAAACCCUGAUGCAGCGACGCCGCGUGGGUGAUGAAGUAUUUCGGUAUGUAAAGCUCUAUCAUCAGAGAAGAUAAUGACGGUACCUAAUUAAUAAGCACCGGCUAACUCCGUGCCAGCAGCCGCGGUAAUACGGAGGGGGCAAGCGUUAACCGGAUUUACUGGGGGUAAAGGGAGCGUAGCCGGCAUAACAAGUCUGGAGUGAAAUGCCAUGGCUUAACCCCGGAACUGCAUUGGAAACUGUGCAUCUAGAGUGCGGGAGAGGUAGGUGGAAUUCCUGGUGUAGAGGUGAAAUGCGGAGAGAUCAAGAGGAACACUAGUGGCGAAGGCGGCUUACUGGACUAUAACUGACGUUGAGGCUCGAAAGCGUGGGGAGCAAACAGGAUUAGAUACCCCGGUAAUC